rnacentral:rRNA from 1 species
CAGCAGUAGGGAAUUUUCCGCAAUGGGCGCAAGCCUGACGGAGCAACGCCGCGUGAGUGAGGACGGCUUUCGGGUUGUAAAACUCUGUUCUUCGGGAAGAACGGCGGUCGGGUGAAUAGCCCGAUUGCGUGACGGUACCGAAGGAGAAAGCCCCGGCUAACUACGUGCCAGCAGCCGCGGUAAUACGUAGGGGGCAAGCGUUGUCCGGAAUUAUUGGGCGUAAAGCGCGCGCAGGCGGCCUGUUCAGUCGGAUGUGAAAGACCACGGCUCAACCGUGGGGUGGCAUCCGAAACUGGCGGGCUUGAGUACAGGAGAGGAGAGUGGAAUUCCCGGUGUAGCGGUGGAAUGCGUAGAGAUCGGGAGGAACACCAGUGGCGAAGGCGGCUCUCUGGCCUGUAACUGACGCUGAGGCGCGAAAGCGUGGGGAGCGAACAGGAUUAGA